rnacentral:rRNA from 1 species
AACGAACGCUGGCGGUAUGCCUAACACAUGCAAGUCGAACGAGACCUUCGGGUCUAGUGGCGCACGGGUGCGUAACGCGUGGGAACCUGCCCUUAGGUUCGGAAUAACUCUCCGACAGGGGUGCUAAUACCGGAAAAUUUCUUCUGACCAAAGAUUUAUCGCCCUUGGAUGGGCCCGCGUUGGUUAAGCUAGUCGGUAGGGUAAAAGCCUAUCAAGGAUACGAUCCAUAGCUGGUUUGAGAGAAUGAGCAGCCACUCUGAGACUGGGACACGGCCCAGACUACUACGGGAAGCAGCAGUGGCGGAUAUAGGACAAUGGGCGAAAGCCUGAACCAGCAAGGCCGCGUGAGUGAUGAAGUCCUUAGAGUUGUAAAGCACUUUUACCCGGGAUGAUAAUGACGGUACCGAAAGAAUAAGCACCGGCUAACUCCGUG